rnacentral:rRNA from 1 species
CCUACGGGAGGCAGCAGUGAGGAAUAUUGGUCAAUGGGCUUACGCCUGAACCAGCCAAGUCGCGUGAGGGAAGACUGCCCUAUGGGUUGUAAACCUCUUUUGUCAGGGAGCAACGCCGGCUACGUGUAGCCGGACUGAGAGUCCCUGAAGAAAAAGCAUCGGCUAACUCCGUGCCAGCAGCCGCGGUAAUACGGAGGAUGCGAGCGUUAUCCGGUUUGAUUGGGUUUAAAGGGUGCGUAGGCGGAAUGCCAAGUCAGCGGUAAAAUCGCGGGGCUCAACCUCGCUCCGCCGUUGAUACUGGCGUUCUUGAGUGGGCGAGAGGUAUGCGGAAUGCGUGGUGUAGCGGUGAAAUGCAUAGAUAUCACGCAGAACUCCGAUUGCGAAGGCAGCAUACCGGCGUCCAACUGACGCUGAAGCACGAAAGCGUGGGUAUCGAACAGGAUUAGAUACCCCGGUAGUC